GAUGAACGCUAGCUACAGGCUUAACACAUGCAAGUCGAGGGGAAACGAUAUUGGAAGCUUGCUUCCGAUAGGCGUCGACCGGCGCACGGGUGAGUAACGCGUAUCCAACCUGCCCAUCACUUGGGGAUAACCUUGCGAAAGUAAGACUAAUACCCAUGAUAUCUCUAGAAGACAUCUGAAGGAGAUUAAAGAUUUAUCGGUGAUGGAUGGGGAUGCGUCUGAUUAGCUUGUUGGCGGGGUAACGGCCCACCAAGGCGACGAUCAGUAGGGGUGCUGAGAGGAAGGUCCCCCACAUUGGAACUGAGACACGGUCCAAACUCCUACGGGAGGCAGCAGUGAGGAAUAUUGGUCAAUGGGCGAGAGCCUGAACCAGCCAAGUAGCGUGCAGGAUGACGGCCCUAUGGGUUGUAAACUGCUUUUAUAAGGGAAUAAAGUGAGUCUCGUGAGACUUUUUGCAUGUACCUUAUGAAUAAGGACCGGCUAAUUCCGUGCCAGCCGCCGCCGUAA
rnacentral:rRNA from 1 species